rnacentral:lncRNA from 1 species
CCCUGAUCUGAUAGAGAAUUGUGUUAAGUACUUUACUAACUGUAACAUCUGAACUUCAUUUAAAUUCCUUAGGUUCACAGGUGUCCUAUUGAAGCUAAAUGGUGAAUGCCUUCAUUUCUAAGAUUGUUUGCUCUCUCUGAAUCAGUGGAUGGAUUGUGUGGGUUGUUGUAGGUACCAAGUAUAUAGCUGGAAGUAUUUUCAUUGAGAGAUGUGGAUGUGUGUCUUGGUGCAAGGGGACUACAAAUUCUUCAAGUUGUUUCUUAUUUGGGCUUUGUUGGGAGGAAUGAUGCAUUGCAAGUUAUGGAAGCCAUUUUGAGGUAAUUCACAUUAAAACUGUCAGCAGCUGAGAAAUUCUGCUC